UACCUCAGGCUCGACCAUGAUCGGGCUGUUCUCUUCAGCAUGCACUAUCAUGUGGCAUCUAGCUCGGUAGAUCGGACAAGAACUUCGAGCGAUCAACCACCACUCGAUGCAUCGGACUGCUUCGACUCCAACACCACCACUCGCAACUACUCUCCAUCCCAAUCAUACUCCCUCAAGGUGCUGCUCUCCUUGUCCAUCAUGUAGAUGGAACUGCUAUAGUCGUCUAUCAAUGUCGUCAGGCUGGCCCAGCUAGUGACGAGGGUGGGUGUGGCAUGUCUUCUG
rnacentral:lncRNA from 1 species